rnacentral:rRNA from 1 species
CAUUACAAGUGACCCCGGUCUUACCACCGGGAUGUUCAUAACCCUUUGUUGUCCGACUCUGUUGCCUCCGGGGCGACCCUGCCCUCGGGCGGGGGCUCCGGGUGGACACUUCAAACUCUUGCGUAACUUUGCAGUCUGAGUAAACUUAAUUAAUAAAUUAAAACUUUUAACAACGGAUCUCUUGGUUCUGGCAUCGAUGAAGAACGCAGCGAAAUGCGAUAAGUAAUGUGAAUUGCAGAAUUCAGUGAAUCAUCGAAUCUUUGAACGCACAUUGCGCCCCCUGGUAUUCCGGGGGGCAUGCCUGUUCGAGCGUCAUUUCACCACUCAAGCCUCGCUUGGUAUUGGGCAACGCGGUCCGCCGCGUGCCUCAAAUCGACCGGCUGGGUCUUCUGUCCCCUAAGCGUUGUGGAAACUAUUCGCUAAAGGGUGUUCGGGAGGCUACGCCGUAAAACAACCCCAUUUCUAAGGUUGACCUCGGAUCAGGUAGGGAUACCC